AAAAUAAUAGAAUAGAAUAGAAUAGAAUAGAAUAGAAUAGAAUAGAAUAGAAUAGAAUAGACAACAUUCUUAAUUGUCACUGUAACAUGACUGAUGAAACUCAGUUUA